CAGUUCGGAUUGUAGUCUGCAACCCGACUACAUGAAGCUGGAAUCGCUAGUAAUCGCGGAUCAGAAUGCCGCGGUGAAUACGUUCCCGGGUCUUGUACACACCGCCCGUCACACCAUGGGAGUCGGAAAUGCCCGAAGUCAGUGACCCAACCGUAAGGAGGGAGCUGCCGAAGGUGGAGCCGGUAACUGGGGUGAAGUCGUAACAAGGUAUC
rnacentral:rRNA from 1 species